GAAGCAUGCGGGAACAGCCAUCCCCUCCCGACUGGAAGAGCACACAGAUGCUGGACACCUGAAGUGACCUGGAAUCAGUGAAGCCAAAGGGACUGGCAGUCUGCCCUGCAGGGAGUACCGACCUAUCCCAGUUGUGUGAGGCUGCGAGAGAAAGGGAGUGCAUGUGCGCGCGUGCAUGUGUGCGUGCGUGUGUGUUCACGUGUUCUCGUGCGGGCGCGUGAGUGGUCUUCAAACGAGGGUCCCGAUCCCCGGGGCGGCAGGAAGGGGGCCGACUCCACGCUGUCCUUUGGGAUGAUACUUGGAUGCAGCUCUUGGGACCGUGUUCUGCAGCCCAGCCUUCCUGUUGGGGUGGGGCCUCUCCUACUAUGCAAUUUUUCAAGAGCUCCUUGACCCUGCUUUUUGCUUCUUGAGUUGUCUUUUGCCAUUAUGGGGACUUUGGUUUGACCCAGGGGUCAGCCUUAGGAAGGCCUUCAGGAGGAGGCCGAGUUCCCCUUCAGUACCACCCCUCUCUCCCCACCUUCCCUCUCCCGGCAACAUCUCUGGGAAUCAACAGCAUAUUGACACGUUGGAGCCGAGCCUGAACAUGCCCCUCGGCCCCAGCACAUGGAAAACCCCCUUCCUUGCCUAAGGUGUCUGAGUUUCUGGCUCUUGAGGCAUUUCCAGACUUGAAAUUCUCAUCAGUCCAUUGCUCUUGAGUCUUUGCAGAGAACCUCAGAUCAGGUGCACCUGGGAGAAAGACUUUGUCCCCACUUACAGAUCUAUCUCCUCCCUUGGGAAGGGCAGGGAAUGGGGACGGUGUAUGGAGGGGAGGGAUCUCCUGCGCCCUUCAUUGCCACACUUGGUGGGACCAUGAACAUCUUUAGUGUCUGAGCUUCUCAAAUUAGCUGCAAUAGGAAAAAAACAAAUUGGGAAAUGAAAAAAAAAUGGGAAGAUUAAAAAGCACAGGGGGAAGAAGAAGAGAUUUCGGAGGCCAUCCUGCCAGGGGCGGACGGGGCUGACUCCUGCUCUCUGGAGGACGGUCAGUCCAUGUCUCGGAGAAACGGGUGAGCUGAGCUUGGCGUUUGGACCCAGUUCAGUGAGGUUCUUGGGUUUUGUGCCUUUGGGGCAGACCCCAGGCAAGGAUGUCUGAGACCACUUGGGCGCUGUUUUCUCAGCUCCAAUUUCAAGAGUGAGCUAUCAAACCCAGAGCGGAAGGAGGGAGCUCUGAUGAGCACGGUUUGUCACACGAUAAAGGGAUUUUUUUUUUCAGGGCUACUACGGUUGAUCUUGCAACUCUGUAAAUAUGUAUGUAGACACUUUUAAAAGCACGUAUUUAUGUCCCUGACUGUAAAUGCUCCAUUUUUAAAGUUUUAUAACUUGUGUUAUUUAAUGAGUCAGUCAAUCGGCUGCAGUAUGGGAUCUGAUAAGGAUCUAGGAGAAGGGUCUCAUGCGGACCCUCACAUGGGCAGAAAAAUGGUGGUCAUUGGCCGACAUCACAGUUUUCCUGUUUCCCACCCAGCUAAAAACCGUUGUUUGCUUUAAAUUUUCAUAAACUGGAAUCCUUUCACCCGCUCCUACAGCUAACCCUCACAAGCAUGAAGUGCUGUGGCUGUUCCUUAUCCUAAUGAUGCGCUUUUGUCCCGUAAAUGUUAACACUCAUGAAGCAUACCCCGGCCUCUCAGUUCUUGAGGGCCUCCCCACCGCAGCAGCAAGGAAAGCUCACGAACCCCAAACCUGGCAAGUCACCUGCAG
rnacentral:lncRNA from 10 species